UACUGCGUUGUUAGGACAGGCAGGUCGAGUUUGUCGCUGCGUUCGCUGCCCACACUCUUCUACUUCUCGCCGUUCGAGCUGCUAGCUGAGUUCCAGAAGCGACGUUAGGGGGCGUUUUUUUGUUUAUUUUCUUAACUCUAUUAAUUCCACACCACGGAACCGGACGACUCGUAGGUUGAGUGUGUGAAGGUCUCGAGAGUGUGUGGCGGCGGGGCCGUCUUGGCGUGCAACCUCCCUUCCAGCUAGCAGCACGAGACGCGAGGCCGGCUAGCUCGUCUCCGUUAUAAGGAUCUGGACGGACUACACACGAACCGCUAGGGACUUUAAGUCGUCGUGUGAACACGAUUGCUGUGAGAAUGACAAUAAGUCUUCCGUGUGGGUCCCGCGCAAUGCCACAACCUGGACGUCCUAUACUCGAACCGUCCGGUUUAGUGAGGGAGAGAACCUUUGGAUUGGAGAGAAUCUUUUGAAUGCGAUCUAAGUUUAGCGAACAGACCUGUUAACGGGGGAGAGUUGGCAGAAUGUUCUAAUCUCCUCGAAAGAGAUCCGUGGUUGAACGACGUCCCCCUGUAAGGUCUACGUGAAUGUUUGACAUCGUUUGAGUUCAGCGAUUUGGAGCGAGAAUUGUACGAUCACCCAAGUUAAGGGCUUUUGUAUCCAAAGGAGUGGUUAGAUCAUCAAUACCUGGAAAGGCCUUUAUUAAACAGUCCUUAGUAAGGGGUUUGGAAGUCGUUGUAUUCAGCAAAUUCUCUUUACAGUGAACGUCUGUUGGACGAGCACCCUUCGUAAGGAUUUCUCGAACCCGUUAACUGUCUAUAAAGCUAACACAAGGAACCACCUUUGUCGGAUAGUUCAUCGCAAGGACGCUGUGACAAAUUAGACAGGAUGGAAGUUUAUGAUCUGAACCUAUGUUUAUACAAUUCACCGUGUGACGGUAGACUGCAACCAGUAUACGAGGGAUUGGAGGUUAAAGAAAAGAACCCACUUUUGUUCGAACUGCCGGUGUAGGGUCUAAGUAAUCCGUUACGAAGUCUCGACCCGGUCAAACUACCAGAAUACGGUCGGUUGGAUCCUUUAAACAGUGUUGAGUGUGUCAACCUAGAAUCAAUGUUGUUAUAGGUUCCGUUGUAUGGAGAUGUCUAAAGAUCCGAAUUUGUUGAGUACCUUGAUGUGGAAAGUAGCUUGUUCGCAUGACCCCUUUAUGGAUCAUUAAACCUAGUUACACUGUUAAACUAUUGAUAGGUCUAGCUGGUCUUGUACGAUUAUCCCCUUUAGGGUUGUAGAAAACCGUUAGAUUAUCGGAACUUGCACGAAUUAGAAAGAGUCUUAUUGAACAGCCCGUGGCAGGGUCGUUGAGAUUCACUGAAUGUUGAGGAGUCGUUAACCCCUGACACACCUCCCCACCGUCUAGAGGUUUACGGCAAUACAAGACGAUAAAGAGUCUCUAGUCUCUGUCUCAUGAUAAACUAGGGGCGUCGAUCCUAAAUGUUGGAGGGUUGGCGCUCCUACAUAUGGGAGUAGACGAGGAGUCUGUCGGGAGGCCCUCCGCCAGCUUGUCGGGGGGGCCUGCCACAGUGCCUGUCGGGAAGCCCUCCUGGAAGCUUUGAGCUUGCCAGUGAGCCUGUCGGGAAGCCCUCCUGGAAGCUUUGAGCCUGCCAGUGUGCCUGUCGGGAAGCCCUCCGUGAGUGCUUGAUU
rnacentral:rRNA from 1 species